rnacentral:rRNA from 1 species
AGUGAACGCUGGCGGCAGGCCUAACACAUGCAAGUCGAGCGGUAACAGGAAAUAGCUUGCUAUUUUGCUGACGAGCGGCGGACGGGUGAGUAACGCGUAGGAAUUUGCCCAGUAGUGGGGGAUAGCCCGGAGAAAUUCGGAUUAAUACCGCAUACGCCCUAAGGGGGAAAGCAGGGGAUCUUCGGACCUUGCGCUAUUGGAUAAGCCUGCGUAAGAUUAGCUAGUUGGUGAGGUAAGGGCUCACCAAGGCGACGAUCUCUAGCUGGUCUGAGAGGAUGAUCAGCCACACUGGAACUGAGACACGGUCCAGACUCCUACGGGAGGCAGCAGUGGGGGAAUAUUGCACAAUGGGCGAAAGCCUGAUGCAGCCAUGCCGCGUGUGUGAAGAAGGCUCUAGGGUUGUAAAGCACUUUCAGUAGGGAGGAAAGUACGAUAGUUAAUACUA